GACGAACGCUGGCGGCGUGCUUAACACAUGCAAGUCGAACGGAAAGGCCCUGCUUUUGUGGGGUGCUCGAGUGGCGAACGGGUGAGUAACACGUGAGUAACCUGCCCUUGACUUUGGGAUAACUUCAGGAAACUGGGGCUAAUACCGGAUAGGAGCUCCUGCUGCAUGGUGGGGGUUGGAAAGUUUCGGCGGUUGGGGAUGGACUCGCGGCUUAUCAGCUUGUUGGUGGGGUAGUGGCUUACCAAGGCUUUGACGGGUAGCCGGCCUGAGAGGGUGACCGGCCACAUUGGGACUGAGAUACGGCCCAGACUCCUGCGGGAGGCAGCAGUGGGGAAUAUUGCACAAUGGGCGGAAGCCUGAUGCAGCAACGCCGCGUGCGGGAUGACGGCCUUCGUGUUGUAAACCGCUUUCGCCUGUGACGAAGCGUGAGUGACGGUAAUGGGUAAAGAAGCACCGGGUAACUACGAG
rnacentral:rRNA from 1 species